rnacentral:tRNA from 1 species
CCUGGUGGCUCAGACAGUAAAGAAUCUGCCUGCAAUGCAGGAGACCCAGGUUCGAUCCCUGGGUCAGGA